UGAAGCAUGGAAAAUUCCUGGAGUUGCUCCUUUUGCUCUUUGCCUUUUCUUCGCCAAAUUGGUUGCUUAUACAUUUCUUUAUUGGCUUCCUUUCUACAUUAGCCACACAGGUACCUUAACUUCAUCACUUAUGAUUUUUCUUAAAUUGGAUAAAUUAAAAUCUUUCUUUGAUGUAUUUACGAGAAACCAACUAAAAAGAUAUUCAAGCUUUGAGUUUCUAUAUACAUGUGUCCAAUUCCUCUCAUGAUUGACCUUUUGAAGAGUCUUGGCUUCAUCUACUUCUUAUGAAGUCUUUCAUGGUCAAACAACAGAAGCUUUUCAAAAUGGAUAAUUCUGAUUUUAUGUUCAUAUAAUGUUUUAUCCUUCAAUCCCAUCACAUUGGAAGUGAGAAUGCAUCAUUAGUCUUGAAUAAAAUUUUCAAGUUGCUUUUCAUACUAGUGGAUCAUGUAUUUCCAAAGGUCCUCUGUGAACUUUUAAAUAAAAUAUUUCAUUGUAUCACAUUGAUAUCGGUUUUUAUAUCACUUCGUUCUUCGCCUGUUACCUUCAGUACAUACAUGCCUUUGAAUUAUGAAAUGUGUAGUUGAAUCCUUCUGUAAAGCAGUCCCUAGAUUCUGAUUGGUUCCAUUGCCAUUCAUUUUCUUCCAGAUAUAGAUGGCAAGUACUUAUCCAGUGAGGCAGCUGGAAACUUAUCUACAGUCUUUGAUGUUGGAGGGGUGGUUGGAGGAAUUCUAGCUGGCCAUAUUUCAGACCGCCUAGGUGCCAGAGCCAUAACAGCAGCAAGUUUUAUGUACUGUGCUAUCCCUGCCCUCUUCUUCUACCGAAGCUAUGGAAGCAU
rnacentral:lncRNA from 1 species